rnacentral:rRNA from 1 species
CACACAACCGGUGGAGCACGUGGUUUAAUUCGACGAUAGCGAAGAACCUUACCAGGGCUUGACCUAGCGGUAGUAGGACUCUGAAAGGGGAACGACCUCAAGCUUUUGCUUGAGGAGCCGUGGCAGGUAUUGCAUGGCUGUCGUCAGCUCGUGUCGUGGGACGUUGGGUUAAGUCCCGUAACGAGCGCAACCCCUGCCCUUAAUUGCCAGCGGGUAAUGCCGGGGACUAUAAGGGGACUGCCGGAGAAUAUCCGGAGGAAGGAGGGGAUGACGUCAAGUCAUUAUGAUCCUUAUGCUCUGGGCGACACACGUGCUACAAUGGCCACUACAGUGAGGAGCCAAUCCGCAAGGACGAGCAAAUCUCAAAAAGGUGGCCUCAGUGCGGAUUGGGGUCUGCAACCCGACCCCAUGAAGAUGGAAUCGGUAGUAAUCGCGGGUCAGCCACACCGCGGUGAAUAUGUACUUGGGCCUUGUACACACCGCCCGUCACACCAACCG